UACCCUCCUAGUUAUUUCACAUGGGGUUUAUUUAGAUGCUUGUACUAAAAAGAGGGAACCACAAAGCAGGCUUUUCCCUGUGUGGAGCAGGUGACUUCUGUCCUCCCUCGGCUCAGGUGCGGGCAGGGUGGAGUUUGCUGCAGCUGCUCUCCCUUAAAAAGGGCAGGGUGAGCCUCAAACUGCCCUACGGAGGGUGCUGGGGAUGCCUGAGCAGCUGCUGUAGAGCCCCGCUUGUCCUGGGAAAGAAUUAAGCAGUAUCAGAAGAAACCAAUUAAUUGCAACGCGACCGCUGUAAUGGGGUCUGCUCUACAACGUGGCAACAUCUAAUGGAGUUUUAAUUUCCCCAUGGUGAGGCAACAUUUGCUUAAAGAGAGACUAUCACAGCAAACCACUGCCCCAAGACACAGCUUCUUGAAGUCUGUGGGGUUGAAUGGGCAUCUUGGAGGUGCUGCUGCUUUGCUGUGGGUAAAAUUCACAGAAGGCCGUAGCUGGAGCAUCAGAGAGCAUCCCGACCCCAUUGUUGGCUGUGAUUUCCUGUGGACUUGCAGAACAUGGCAGACAAACAACCCUGUAAGGCUCGUAGACUGUUCCUCCUAACCUUGCAGGGAUCCUGGAUGCUAAAAUGAACUCCAUCACCUACUGAAGGUUUUACGUUAUUAUUUUUUUUACCAUAUGGCCUUCCUUAACAAAUACUUCUUUAACUUCUGUGGGUCCUUGCCAUGCAGCUGCACCAGGGAGUCCUUGUCAGGGCGCAGGAGCCCAUCGUGGUGGGGCUGAACAGAACCACAAAAAAAGAAGAGCCUCUUCCUAGGGAGGCUGCUGUACCUGUGUAACUUGCAACACAGGAUGCACAGACAAGAGAGAGCAGGAAACGGAGACAACUGAAUUUAUAGCAAGCUUUUUCCGUUAAUUGGAUUGUUCAGAGUUUUUAGUAUGACCAGAAGUUACAAUGGGGAUUCUCAAGGGAGGCGAAGCACCCAGCUCCCUUUGAAAUUCAGCAAGACGUAGCCCCCUACCCCGCUCAGGCCCUGGGUGUCUUUGAAAAUCUCAGCCUACGCUGCUGUUGACUAAUGACUGUUUUGCUUGGUGAACGCCGACAAACUUCUGAAGUCGGUCUGCCUUUCCCAGUCUUCUGACAGCUUAAGAGAUUUGAAACAAAGCUACAUUAUGAUGCAACCAAUUUCAGCAGCAUCUGAUUAACAAAAAGGAGGCCACAGCUACCUGACAGCAGCUGGUGGUUAUUUUUUAUUUCUAAAACAAACUGAUGGCCUCAAACAUUCAUACAUGUAUUUAUUUUUUGUUUAAAUGUCUCAUUUCCUGGAUUUUUUUUUCGGGGGAUCAUGCAGGGAAAUAAAGUUUUGCAAUUCUUCUUCUCAUAAUAAGUCUGUCUAAAAAUGAUGUUGCUCAUUCUGUUGAAAGAUGGUUUCAUUUUCUACUCAAAAUUGGUAUGAAAAAUUUGCCUUGCCAAAUGAACAUUGUAUACUGAACUUGUCAAAUCCUCUCUCCUGACACAAAUAAAAGAUAACAUUGGGUGGCA